rnacentral:rRNA from 1 species
GACGAACGCUGGCGGCGUGCUUAACACAUGCAAGUCGAACGGUAAGGCCCUGCUUUUGGGGGGAGUUCGAGACGGGAACGGAUGAGUAACACGAGCGUAACCUGCCUUUGACAUUAGGCUAACUUCAGGAAACUAGGGCCAAUACCGGACCGCAGCCCCCGCUGCAGGGUGGGGGAUGGAAAGUCUCGGCGGGUGGGGAUGGGCCCGCGGCUUAUCAGCUUGUUGGUGGGGUAGUGGCUUACCAAGGCCUUGACGGGUAGCCGGCCUGAGAGGGUGACCGGCCACACUGGGACUGAGACACGGCCCAGACUCCUACGGGAGGCAGCAGUGGGGAAUAUUGCGCAAUGGGCGGAAGCCUGAUGCAGCAACGCCGCGUGCGGGAUGACGGCCUUCGGGUUGUAAACCGCUUUCGCCUGUGACGAAGCGUAAGUGACGGUACUGGGUGAAGAAGCACCGGCUAACUACGUG